rnacentral:lncRNA from 10 species
UGGAAAGGACAAUCUCUUCAAUAAAUUAUGUUAGGAAAAUUGGAUAUUCACAUUCAGGAGAAAGAAAUUGAUCCAGCUUUAUCCAUGUCCCUGCAAAGGACAUGAACUCAUCCUUUUUUAUGGCUGCAUAGUAUUCCAUGGUGUAUAUGUGUCACAUUUUCUUAAUCCAGUCUAUCACUGAUGGACAUUUGGGUUGGUUCCAAGUCUUUGCUAUAAGAAGGAAGCUUGUCAUUGCAUUUUGCAGAUAAAGAUGGAGCAUUUGGUCAUCACUUCUGCAGAUAAAGAAAUUGAAGUUCAAAGAGAUGUCCAUCCAGUAGAUCUUAUUCCAAUUUGAUCUACUUUGGAAUUUUUUUCUCAUUCUGUUUUGUUACAUAGACUGACAAAUGAAUUUGGUGGAAUUUGGCUAUAAGGUUAAUGUAUUCAGUAAAAAUGAUAGAAAUCAAUUUCUUUUCUGCCUUCUUAGUUAUCUGCCUUUUCUUCCUUUUUUUUUUUAAGAUUUCUUGGUUU